ACUGCUGCUCCCUCAAAGCUAGAGAACCAGAGCUGAGAAGCAGAAACCCUCUCAGUGGCCUGGCCCGUGCUGCAGACAGACAGAGCGGUCAAGGAAGGCCUCAGGACCAGAGGCAGAGAGAGGAAUGGAGUGAGAGAGAUCAAUGCUGGACCCAAGAUGAUUAACGUGCCAACCUGGGGCACUGGCGCUAGGGAGAUGGUCAGAUCGAUGGAUUCCAAGCAAAUGAAGAGCCUGGCGCAUUCGGCAGCCAAGCUGUGAAGUUAAACACAGCGACGGGGCCAGGCGUUUGGUGAGCGAUGAGGGUGAUGAAACAGGACACAUAUAUCUUGGGAAACAACACUGAGAGGCCAGAUCUGGUUCUGAAAAAUGUCUUUGCUCCUUGUCACCUUUCAAAGGCAAAAUCACAGCUCUUAAAAUAGUCUUUACUGAGAAACCAGGGAAGUCAAAAUCUGAAGGCUGGACCGAACUUUCAAAAGCUCUGGCAAAGAAUGAGGAGCCAUGUUGGAGCAGAGGUCUGGCAGAGAAGAGAAGACAAAUGCAGACCAACAUCAUCCAAUGAGUUUCCAGAAUGAAGUACUGACUCAACUUCACACUGCUUUGGCUCUCUAAUGUGUGGAGGAUGCCUGGGAGUCAGGUUCCUGGUGGUCUUCACAAGCUAGAGCUUGCUUCCCACACCUUCAUGUCUGUGAGGCUCCAUGUUGCCUGCUUAGCACUGUUUAUCCAGCCUGACCAACUGCUCCAAGUGGCUGCCGUGUGUCAGGAAAUGGCCCUCCUAAACAAUACCAGAAUUUUAGAGUUGCAAGACCAGUAUUUUAAAGCUGAUCAUCUCCUAUUGAGGAAUCCUUUGCCUGCAACUGAGGAGAACGCCAAUUUGAAGUCUAGUGUACCAAUGAGAGCACCUGGACGGAAGGCAACCAGUGUGUUAGUGACAAAUGCAAAAUCAUGAUGUUGGCAGAUGAAUGCCACCCAAGGAGCACUCCUGGAGGGUCGGUGCGAUUGCUCAGCUUGUUAGCUCAAGGGCCAACAGGAGAGUUGCUGGGGUGCUCUUGUCAGGGAGGGGAACAUCAGGACACAUCUCUACUGUCUCAUCCUGCCUGCAACAGAACAUGACCGAAAACAGUGGCCUAGGGGCAGAACUGAAGCAGAUUUACGCCGUUUUUCUUCCUUUGACUUCAGUGCUUUCUUAACUGUGUGGUCACGGAGUAGAUAUCAUCAAUUUAUAUUCUGUGUGUACAGCAAAAUUUUGGCUACCAAAUAGUGGUUAAUUUAAUAAUCUGGUCAAUUUAGAGGUAAUAAAUGAAAUAUUAAUAGAAAUGAAUUAACUUUUCAAGUAAGAAAUAAAUUAUUUGUUCAUUCUUUCCCCAAA
ensembl:lncRNA NTM-AS1 NTM antisense RNA 1